rnacentral:rRNA from 1 species
UACGGGAGGCAGCAGUGGGGAAUAUUGCACAAUGGACGAAAGUCUGAUGCAGCAACGCCGCGUGGAGGAUGACACAUUUCGGUGCGUAAACUCCUUUUAUUAGGGAAGAUAAUGACGGUACCUAAUGAAUAAGCACCGGCUAACUCCGUGCCAGCAGCCGCGGUAAU